rnacentral:rRNA from 1 species
GACGGAGGGGGCUAGCGUUGUUCGGAAUUACUGGGCGUAAAGCGCGCGUAGGCGGCUGAUCAAGUCAGGGGUGAAAGCCCGGAGCUCAACUCCGGAAUGGCCUCUGAAACUGAUUGGCUUGAGAACGGAAGAGGAGAGUGGAAUUCCCAGUGUAGAGGUGAAAUUCGUAGAUAUUGGGAAGAACACCGGUGGCGAAGGCGGCUCUCUGGUCCGUUUCUGACGCUGAGGCGCGAAAGCGUGGGGAGCAAACAGG